AUUGAACGCUGGCGGCAUGCCUUACACAUGCAAGUCGAACGGCAGCACGGGAGCAAUCCUGGUGGCGAGUGGCGAACGGGUGAGUAAAGUAUAGGAACGUGCCCAGUCGUGGGGGAUAACGUAGCGAAAGUUACGCUAAUACCGCAUACGAUCUAUGAAUGAAAGCGGGGGAUCGCAAGACCUCGCGCGAUUGGAGCGGCCGAUAUCCGAUUAGGUAGUUGGUGGGGUAAAGGCUCACCAAGCCGACGAUCUGUAGCUGUUCUGAGAGGACGACCAGCCACACUGGGACUGAGACACGGCCCAGACUCCUACGGGAGGCAGCAGUGGGGAAUUUUGGACAAUGGGCGAAAGCCUGAUCCAGCCAUGCCGCGUGCAGGAUGAAGGCCUUCGGGUUGUAAACUGCUUUUGUACGGAACGAAAAGGUUUGGCCUAAUAAGCUGAGCUCAUGACGGUACCGUAAGAAUAAGCACCGGCUAACUACGUGCCAGCCGCCGCGGUAA
rnacentral:rRNA from 1 species